rfam:Myotis lucifugus cont2.52271, whole genome shotgun sequence.
GAGACACCCCUCUGGAACAGGACUUUGCUUCAGUGGGACUCUGGUGCUCACUGAGUCUGUCCCUUGAGUGUGUCUCU